CUGCGUGAUUUCUGCCUGACUCAGUGCCCAACUGAUCAUUUACAAGACACUGAUAGUUAUAACAUUACCUGCAGUUUCCUGGAGCCAUGAAACAGCCAAUACCUGCAGGAUGUUAUUCCCUGACAGCACAUUCAGACAGAGACAAACUACAGGAUACUCUUGCCCAAGCGAACAGUUGCUUUCCUUCACCUGGGAGAGCUUUGAGGUGCUGCUUGGAGCCAUUUUGCAAGUCCUGGCUGCAGGUCAGCAAGGCUCCCCUUAUCGAGUUCUCUGUGCCUGAGGUGCUUCUGUCCCGCUGACCCCCUGUGAGUGGCAGCACAACACGUGCUAAUGUGGCUUUGUUGAUAUCAGCACUGAAUUCCUGUGUGGCAUCUGCUGUGACUACAAGGAGAGACAGAUCUGCUUGAGUGACCCCAGGCACCAUAUCCACCUUCGAGAGUCUCGUGAGUUCAGGCCAGGGGAACUGAGGCACUCCAUCCUCAGGCUUGCCACCCUUACCAGCUGUGGGUGGCACUUUCCAAUUCUCUUGUGUUACCAAUACAGAAAAAGCAUCACAAUGGCCUUACAGAACUACCUGGUCUCUUAGACGCAGUGCCAGUGACUUUCAGGAGCUAAAUACCUUAUGUAAAAUAUCUUGUCUGUGAUAGGCCCUUUCCUUGAUACACUUUUUAGCCCAUUGCAAACACAAGUUUUGGGAUCCCCUCCCCUCCACAGCCUGGGUUAUCCAGUUCUCUAAAUAAUGAGUUCCAGAUCUUUGCCUCCCCCAGCCUCAGCCCUGCACCACCUUCAGUGCCUGAAAUGCAGCAGAUUCCUCGUGGCCCCCAGCAGCUCAGAAGCCCCAGUUCUCAGCGGUCUCAGGGGAAGCUGCUGGGGGUGGUGACACCCAGUCACUGCCAGUGCUGGCCAUGGUGCCUGAGGCAGCCACAGAGGAGCACAGCCCCGAGCACUCGGCAUGGCAACCCGCAGCUGUGCCCUGCCCUUGGAGCUCCUGGCUUAUCCGCAGGAGCCAGCACUAGUUAUCCUGUAGGAUUUAAAAGAGUUUUUUUAAAAAAAGAGAGAGAGGGGUACAAUCUUGCUAUUUAACUGGAACAUGUAACAUGAGAAAAACAAGGUGCUGCCCCUGCAGCACGCCGAGACCCCAAAAAUGCAUCUCUGGGAAUCCCAGGCAGGUAAUACUACAGGAGGGCUGGCUUCUCUCUCCUCUGCUGGCCUUCUGCCUCAGGAAGUGGUACCUCUGUCCCAAGCUGGGAUGUCAAAAAGCUGCUGCUGUUCAAAGCCCUGCUGUGCAGGCAGCCCAGGCAGCAAGAGGGGAAUGAGCCCAUGCAGGGCUCACAAAUACACAGCACCUCUGCCCUAAGGCCACACUUCACAAUUCAACUCUGUGGCUGUGCAUGCUGCAGAUUCCUGCUGCAGACUGCAAGCUCAGCUGAUUGCCAGGAGAUGAGCUCUGGACAAGAUGGAGUAAAAGCAUUUCUGUUUGGGUACUGGAAGGAGGUCCUGCAAUCACAGAGCAGCCUCCAGGCUGGGGAAGACAGGUAAUCUAGAGAAUGGAGCUAACAUGAAGGAAGGGAUGAUCUGGUUCAUCUCCAGCAAGGAAAAGGCAGUACUUAAAAUUCACUGGCUGCUCUGCACAUUGAGUAAAUAGAAAAAAGCCCAAACCAAACCCAACCAACUAAAACACAAAAAAACCCCAACUCAUCCCAAGCAGCUUACCUUCAAGGGUGGCUGUGGAUUAGGAGUGUUCUCUGGUGAGCAGUGCAGGUCCUUACUCAGACCCAGCAGCAGACCAGCACUGUGAGUGAGCAUCGCUGACUCCCCUGGCCUGAUAGUGUUUAUGUCCUCAACUCUCAGCAGAGUUUCAUCUUGACAAAAUCUAUGCAAAGGCCACAGAUUCCUUCACCAGUACCACUAUCCACAGGCCACAUGUGGACAGUGCUGGCAUUUUUUUGUCAUGAGAAUGAACACCAAUUUGUUCAAGAAAUUUUGGAAAUAGCCCCCAUAUGCUAUUCUCCCCCUAAUGGUGAUUGCCCAGGUCCAGGGGAGAAGCAAACUGGUCUAAAGGAAGCCAACAGACUAAACCCUGAAAGGUGAUGAAUUUUUCCAGGGAAUAGAGGUGGGUCUCAUUCUUCAGCAAGUUUGUGAUUUGAGUGGAGUGCAGAAAGAGGGAAGGCACAGUGAGAGAACAGCAGCAGUGGUGGGGAAGUGGCCCACGAGUGCUACUUUGCCAAUGGUACCUCAGUGUGGCAGUAUCACAUCUUGCUGGUGCUUUCCAAGAAUGUCCAGAACACAUAUUUGUAUUCCCAGAGCAGAGAGAAUCACUUAAAAAUUGCUUCCAUGCCAGCUGAUCUGACAAAUAUAUACGUGGAGGAACACUGUUACAUGUGUAUGCUCAGAAACAAAUGCCUGGCAAGUGCAACGUGUCCUGCAUUAGGAGCCCUCUAAGCACAUGCAAAUGAGAGCAAAUCACAGCCAGACUAUGAUGUUGGGGAUUGCUGGUUUGCAAAUCAAAAACCAAGGGCUCUUAAUUCACACUAACCCAGAACACAGUUCCAAUGUGAUAUGAAGAGAAGAUGAUUUCAUGAUGAGGACAAACAGAUAUUGGAGCAGUUUGCUCACAGCAGCUGUGGAAACUCUGUCCUGGGAGGUUUUCAGCAACACCCAGCAACCUGUUCCUAGUUCAGUGUUGAGCAGGAGAUGGGACUGAAGACAUUUGGAGGCCUUUCCUCCCUGACUGAUCUGUGCUAAUCCCCCCUUUUCUGCACAGCCAUUCUGAAAUGGAGGCGUUCUUCCUGUAUUAUUUGGUGGAUAUACAUUUUUUGGGCACAAGGACUACUCCAUGAGCUGAUGAAGCACAGGCAAAGUAACUUUCUUCUUCUCUCACCUAUCCAACUGCCACAACAAGUCUUGGGCUCCUGGAGCUGGCCAGACAGCCCUGCCAGGGCAUAUGAAUACAAAGGAGGAGAACAAUUUGGGGUUAUCUCUUGAGAACAGUCUGUUCUUUGGCUGACUUGAUAACCAGAAACUGGCACUUGCAUCUGCCUGGAGUUGUGUGGAAUUACAGCUUCAGUGGACACCUACUUUCUCAAAGCUCCAAAACAUUUGCUGCCAUUCCCAUCAUUCAAAGCUUUUAGUUCUGUAAAAUUCUAUCAGUGCUGUUCUCCAGUUAUUAUCAAGCCUCCCUCCUUGUUUGCUUUCUCCUCAUGGUGCUGCUGAGAAAUGGUGGAAUACAGGUACAGUCCCAGGUCAUGCCAGCUACAUCUUCACUGGUUUUCAGUGCCAAAAGGUCCCUUAGGUAAGUAUAAAUUCUGCUUGAUGCCCUUUGGAAAGCUUGGUCACACUAAGCACAGUCUGUCUCUGCUCACAGCUAUGUUGUCAAUAUGUAAAUAUGUUGCCUCCUGACAACUGCAGUUCAGCAAGUUUCAGGCUGGCCCUCUGCAAAUGGUAACCUCAAAGGCAUAACACAGUCACAGAUGUAUCACUGCAGCAUAAAUAAUUCAUACAGAAAAAGCCUUCACUAGAAGAGAAAGAUCAAACGUUCAAAUGCUUCUCCCACCACACGCAAAUGAAGUUUAGGAUCUACAUUAAAAACCAGUCGAUGAAACCAGUUCAACAUUUUUAUUUAGUAGUAAUGCAGUGUUUGUCCUGAUACUAUCGUGAAGCAUAACCACUUCAAACAGAUGAGGUUUCGUGGAGCUUUCCACUCUUGGAAGUGUCUACAUCCUAACACCAUUGCCCAGUGCAGAGCCAAACACUUGCUACAGACUGGGAUUUACAAGCAGCAACACUCAGCUGUGUGAUGAUGCUGUUUGCACAGCAAUGCAGGGGACUUGCAAAGCUCCAGCUGCAUGUAGCAUCCCACUGCAAAACCCACCUGCAUUUGCCACGUGAUGAUGUUUCAUGUCUGCCAGGGCAGUCAGAUUUCAGUGCUUUCUGCACAGGGAUUCUAGAAGUGUCUGUCACCACAGUACUUGACAAUUUAUCUGGUUUUUUACUUUGCAGGCUUGGAGAUUUCAUGUGUCAAGAUGAUCUCGCAGAUGUAACAAGUGACUUUGAUCUUCAAAAUUCCUUGCUAAUGUCCUUCAUAAAAGCUGAAGUAAACUGCCAUGAAAUAAAUGAACAUUUAAUCA